rnacentral:rRNA from 1 species
CCUACGGGAGGCAGCAGUAGGGAAUCUUCCACAAUGGGCGAAAGCCUGAUGGAGCAACGCCGCGUGGGUGAAGAAGGUCUUCGGAUCGUAAAACCCUGUUGUUAGAGAAGAAAGUGCGUGAGAGUAACUGUUCACGUUUCGAAGGUAUCUAACCAGAAAGCCACGGCUAACUACGUGCCAGCAACCGCGGUAAUACGUAGGUGGCAAGCGUUACCCGGAUGUAUUGGGCGUAAGGGGAACGCAGGCGGUCUUGUAAGUCUGAUGUGAAAGCCUUCGGCUUAACCGGAGUAGUGCAUUGGAAACUGGGAGACUUGAGUGCAGAAGAGGAGAGUGGAACUCCAUGUGUAGCGGUGAAAUGCGUAGAUAUAUGGAAGAACACCAGUGGCGAAAGCGGCUCUCUGGUCUGUAACUGACGCUGAGGUACGAAAGCGUGGGUAGCAAACAGGAUUAGAUACCCGUGUAGUC